GAUGAACGCUGGCGGCGUGCCUAAUACAUGCAAGUCGAGCGAACAGAUAAGGAGCUUGCUCCUUUGACGUUAGCGGCGGACGGGUGAGUAACACGUGGGUAACCUACCUAUAAGACUGGAAUAACUCCGGGAAACCGGGGCUAAUGCCGGAUAACAUGUUGAACCGCAUGGUUCUACAGUGAAAGGCGGCUUUGCUGUCACUUAUAGAUGGACCCGCGCCGUAUUAGCUAGUUGGUGAGGUAACGGCUCACCAAGGCAACGAUACGUAGCCGACCUGAGAGGGUGAUCGGCCACACUGGAACUGAGACACGGUCCAGACUCCUACGGGAGGCAGCAGUAGGGAAUCUUCCGCAAUGGGCGAAGGCCUGACGGAGCAACGCCGCGUGAGUGAUGAAGGUCUUCGGAUCGUAAAACUCUGUUAUUAGGGAAGAACAAAUGCGUAAGUAACUGUGCGCGUCUUGACGGUACCUAAUCAGAAAGCCACGGCUAACUACGUG
rnacentral:rRNA from 1 species